CCUACGGGGGGCAGCAGUGAGGAAUAUUGGUCAAUGGACGAGAGUCUGAACCAGCCAAGUAGCGUGAAGGAUGACUGCCCUACGGGUUGUAAACUUCUUUUAUAUGGGAAUAAAAUGAGCCACGUGUGCGUUUUUGUAUGUACCUUAUGAAUAAGGAUCGGCUAACUCCGUGCCAGCAGCCGCGGUAAUACGGAGGAUCCGAGCGUUAUCCGGAUUUAUUGGGUUUAAAGGGAGCGUAGGUGGGUUGUUAAGUCAGUUGUGAAAGUUUGCGGCUCAACCGUAAAAUUGCAGUUGAAACUGGCAGUCUUGAGUACAGUAGAGGUAGGCGGAAUUCGUGGUGUAGCGGUGAAAUGCUUAGAUAUCACGAAGAACUCCGAUUGCGAAGGCAGCUCACUGAACUGCAACUGACACUGAGGCUCGAAAGUGUGGGUAUCAAACAGGAUUAGAUACCCCUGUAGUC
rnacentral:rRNA from 1 species